rnacentral:rRNA from 1 species
AUACUGACACUGAGGANNGAAGCGUGGGGAGCGAACAGGAUUAGAUACCCUGGUAGUCACGCGUAAACGGUGGGCGCUAGUUGUGCGAACCUUCACGGUUGUGCGACGCAGCUAACGCAUUAAGCGCCCCGCUGGGGAGUACGAUCGCAAGAUUAAAACUCAAAGGAAUUGACGGGGCCCCGCACAAGCAGCGGAGCAUGCGGCUUAGUUCGACGCAACGCGAAGAACCUUACCAAGCUUGACAUAUACAGGAAUAUGGCAGAGAUGUCAUAGCCGCAAGGUCUGUAUACAGGUGGUGCAUGGUUGUCGUCAGCUCGUGUCGUGAGAUGUUGGGUUAAGUCCCGCAACGAGCGCAACCCUCGUUCUGUGUUGCCAGCAUUAAGUUGGGGACUCACAGGAGACUGCCGGGGUUAACUCGGAGGAAGGUGGGGAUGACGUCAAAUCAUCAUGCCCCUUAUGUCUUGGGCUGCACGCAUGCUACAAUGGCUGGUACAAACGGCUGCGAUACCGCAAGGUGGAGCGAAUCCGAUAAAGCCAGUCUCAGUUCGGAUUGGGGUCUGCAACUCGACCCCAUGAAGUCGGAGUUGCUAGUAAUCGUAGAUCAGCAACGCUACGGUGAAUACGUUCCCGGGGCUUGUACACACCGCCCGUCACAUCACGAAAGUCGGUAACACCCAAAGUCAGUGGCCCAACCGUAAGGAGGGAGCUGCCAAAGGUGGGAUCGGUGAUUGGGAUGAAGUCGUAACAAGGUA